CACAAUGGGCAAGGUUAAUAAGAAGUCACGGGUGGGCACCAUAGAGACAGACCCAUCUGCUUCACAUACCAACCUAACUCUGAAGAGCAAGAUUUCACUAAAGCUUAGAACUCCAGGUUCUGUUGAGGCCUGCUGUGAAUCCACUUCUAGAGGUGAUGAGAAGGAUCUAUAUGUCCUAAAAAGGAUAAAACGAAUCCUGAAAAGGAAGACAAAGAUGACAAUCUUGAAAAAAAAAACCACAACCACUCCUUCUGGGAAACCUAAGGAAGAUGGAAGAGCAAUACCAUACCCUGGAGAAAAUCAGUGGCUGAAAAAUAAGAAAAAAUACUGACAUAAACAAGAGAAAAAGCUUCAGGACAAGUUGAUGAUGCUGUGGGAUCAAUAUACACAGCUGCAGAAUGAGACAAAUGUACUGUGGAAUCAAUACUAUCAGAUGCACAGUCAGGUAAAGACACAAUUUGGCCAUGACAAGCAGGUGCAAGAUGAGGGGAAUACACAAUGUGAUCAAGAGAAACAACUACAGAGUCAGAUGAUCACAUUCUGUGGUCAAAAGAAUCAGCUGAAAUCAGAGGUUAAUGCACAAUUCAAUCAAGACAAACAUCUGAAAGAAGAGAUGAUUCCACACUUCACUCCAGACAAACAUCUGAAAAAGGAGGUGAUUGCACACUUUGAUCAAGAUAUGUGCCUGAAAGAGGAGGUUAUCACACCUUUCAGUCAAGACGUGCACCUGAAUGAAGAGGUGAUCACACAAUAUGAUUGAGACAUGAAGCUGAAAGAGGAGGUGAUCACACCAUUCAAUCAAGAUAAACAUAUGAAAGAAGAGGUGAUCACACAAUGUGAUCAGGACAAGCAGCCACAAAAGCAGAUGUUCACACUCUGUUAUCAAGACAAGCAUGUGAAAGAAGAAAUGAUCAUUCUCUGUUAUCAAGACAAGCAUCUGCAAGACCAGAUGUUUACAGUCUGUAUCAAGACAAACAAGUGAAAGAGGAGAUGAUUACCCUCUGCUAUAAACACAAGCAGCUGCAGAACCAAAUGUUCACACUCUGCUAUCAAGACAAGCAGGUUCAGGACCAAAUAUUCACACUCUGCUAUCAACACAAACAGGUGAAACAGGAGAGAAUCACCUUCUGCUACCAUGACAAGCAGGUGAAUCAGAGGAGCUUCACCCUCUGCAAUCAACAAAAGCAGCUGCAGAACCAGAUGAACACACUCUGGGACUACAACAACCAGUGGCAGGAGGAGAUGAACACUGUGUCAGCUCAGGAACAACAUGCCAUAGCUGGAUCACCCAUCUCCACUGCUGAUUUCAAUAGGCUGAAGUCUCAGAACACAGCCAGAAUUGCCAGACAUACAUUUUAGUCGUCAAGUUGUUCAGAAAUGUCCACUUAUUACAUUCAAUGCUAUACAGUGAGAUUUGCAAAAAUAAAUUCAUUCUGACUUGAAAA